rnacentral:rRNA from 1 species
AUUGGACGCUGGCGGCAGGCUUAACACAUGCAAGUCGAGCGGAGAGAGGUAGCUUGCUACCGAUCUUAGCGGCGGACGGGUGAGUAAUGCUUAGGAAUCUGCCUAUUAGUGGGGGACAACAUUUCGAAAGGAAUGCUAAUACCGCAUACGUCCUACGGGAGAAAGCAGGGGAUCUUCGGACCUUGCGCUAAUAGAUGAGCCUAAGUCGGAUUAGCUAGUUGGUGGGGUAAAGGCCUACCAAGGCGACGAUCUGUAGCGGGUCUGAGAGGAUGAACCGCCACGAGGGGGCUGAGACACGGCCCGGACUCCUACGGGAGGCAGCAGUGGGGAAUAUUGGACAAUGGGCGCAAGCCUGAUCCAGCCAUGCCGCGUGUGUGAAGAAGGCCUUAUGGUUGUAAAGCACUUUAAGCGAGGAGGAGGCUACUUUAGUUAAUACCUAGAGAUAGUGGACGUUACUCGCAGAAUAAGCACCGGCUAACUCUGUGCCAGCCGCCGCCGUAAUAC